AUCUCAGUGCACGGGCUUUACGCGUUACAGUGAGGAUUCGUCCGAGUACGUGUUAUUGCUAGUUGAAAACUAUACAACUGACCGCUCCUUGAGGUCCUCACGGAUCUCACGGGAAUUUUUGAAUAACCUGCUUUGAC
rnacentral:snRNA from 14 species